AUACCUCCUUGGUAGGGGAGAUACCAUGAUCAUGAAAGUGGUUUUCUAAGGACGAGGCUUAUCCAUUGCACUAUGGAUGUGUUGACCCCUACAAUUUCCCCAAAUAUGAAAAAUGGGACUCUAUAAUUUGUGGUAGUGGGGACUGUGUUCAUGCUUUCCCCU
rnacentral:snRNA from 1 species